GAUGAACGCUGGCGGCGUGCCUAAUACAUGCAAGUCGAGCGAACGGACGAGAAGCUUGCUUUUCUGAUGUUAGCGGCGGACGGGUGAGUAACACGUGGAUAACCUACCUAUAAGACUGGGAUAACUUCGGGAAACCGGAGCUAAUACCGGAUAAUAUUUUGAACCGCAUGGUUCAAAAGUGAAAGACGGUUUUGCUGUCACUUAUAGAUGGAUCCGCGCUGCAUUAGCUAGUUGGUAAGGUAACGGCUUACCAAGGCAACGAUGCAUAGCCGACCUGAGAGGGUGAUCGGCCACACUGGAACUGAGACACGGUCCAGACUCCUACGGGAGGCAGCAGUAGGGAAUCUUCCGCAAAGGGCGAAAGCCUGACGGAGCAACGCCGCGUGAGUGAUGAAGGUCUUCGGAUCGUAAAACUCUGUUAUUAGGGAAGAACAUAUGUGUAAGUAACUGUGCACGUCUUGACGGUACCUAAUCAGAAAGCCACGGCUAACUACGUG
rnacentral:rRNA from 1 species